CUACGUGCCAGCAGCCGCGGUAAUACGUAGGUCCCGAGCGUUAUCCGGAUUUAUUGGGCGUAAAGCGAGCGCAGGCGGUUAGAUAAGUCUGAAGUUAAAGGCUGUGGCUUAACCAUAGUACGCUUUGGAAACUGUUUAACUUGAGUGCAGAAGGGGAGAGUGGAAUUCCAUGUGUAGCGGUGAAAUGCGUAGAUAUAUGGAGGAACACCGGUGGCGAAAGCGGCUCUCUGGUCUGUAACUGACGCUGAGGCUCGAAAGCGUGGGGAGCGAACAGGAUUAGAUACCCUGGUAGUCCACGCCGUAAACGAUGAGUGCUAGGUGUUAGGUCCUUUCCGGGACUUAGUGCCGCAGCUAACGCAUUAAGCACUCCGCCUGGGGAGUACGACCGCAAGGUUGAAACUCAAAGGAAUUGACGGGGGCCCGCACAAGCGGUGGAGCAUGUGGUUUAAUUCGAAGCAACGCGAAGAACCUUACCAGGUCUUGACAUCCCGAUGCCCGCUCUAGAGAUAGAGCUUUA
rnacentral:rRNA from 1 species